GGAAACUGGAAAACUUGAGUGCAGAAGAGGAAAGUGGAAUUGCAUGUGUAGCGGUGAAAUGCGCAGAGAUAUGGAGGAACACCAGUGGCGAAGGCGACUUUCUGGUCUGUAACUGACGCUGAUGUGCGAAAGCGUGGGGAUCAAACAGGAUUAGAUACCCUGGUAGUCCACGCCGUAAACGAUGAGUGAUAAGUGUUAGGGGGUUUCCGCCCCUUAGUGCUGCAGCUAACGCAUUAAGCACUCCGCCUGGGGAGUACGACCGCAAGGUUGAAACUCAAAGGAAUUGACGGGGACCCGCACAAGCGGUGGAGCAUGUGGUUUAAUUUGAAGCAACGCGAAGAACCUUACCAAAUCUUGACAUCCUCUGACCCCUCUAGAGAUAGAGUUUUCCCCUUCGGGGGACAGAGUGACAGGUGGUGCAUGGUUGUCGUCAGCUCGUGUCGUGAGAUGUUGGGUUAAGUCCCGCAACGAGCGCAACCCUUAAGCUUAGUUGCCAUCAUUAAGUUGGGCACUGUAAGUUGACUGCCGGUGACAAACCGGAGGAAGGUGGGGAUGACGUCAAAUCAUCAUGCCCCUUAUGAUUUGGGCUACACACGUGCUACAAUGGACAAUACAAAGGGUAGCGAAACCGCGAGGUCAAGCAAAUCCCAUAAAGUUGUUCUCAGUUCGGAUUGUAGUCUGCAACUCGACUACAUGAAGCUGGAAUCGCUAGUAAUCGUAGAUCAGCAUGCUACGGUGAAUACGUUCCCGGGUCUUGUACACACCGCCCGUCACACCACGAGAGUUUGUAACACCCGAAGCCGGUGGAGUAACCUUUGGAGCUAGC
rnacentral:rRNA from 1 species